rnacentral:lncRNA from 1 species
UCAUUCUGAUUACUGGAAUCAAACAAUCCUUAAGACGAGACCGACAAAAUCAGCGACUUAUUCACAGUAAACUUUUGCCUUUCUUUUAGGGAGGAUGCAAGGACAAGUCUGGAGGUAAGCACAAGUCAAAGGGCAAAGACCACAAAGGUGGCAAGAACAAGGACAAGAAGAGAAAGGAAAAGAAGGACGGGAAGAAAUCAGAUGACUCAUCUUCAUCUUCGUCUUCCAGCAGUGAUGAGGAGUGAUGCUUCCUGGGAGAGCGGACGGCUCCGUCAGUCUCUGAUGAUCUUGUCUAAGUAGACGUGCGGGGUUGAGUGUGCAGCAGGAGCAACUUUUCUUCAUGUCCUUUCAUUGGCAUCACAGAAACAUGCUGGUCUUGUGUAAACAAAUCUGCUGAUUCCUAGAAGUAAAUGCAAAAAUAAAGUUCAUUUUCCUCACCACAAGAUGGCAGUGUUU